GUAGUUAGCCGUGGCUUAUUCAUGAGGUACCGUCAUUUGUUUCUUCCCUCAUAAAAGAAGUUUACAACCCGAAGGCCUUCUUCCUUCACGCGGCGUUGCUGGGUCAGGCUUUCGCCCAUUGCCCAAUAUUCCCCACUGCUGCCUCCCGUAGGAGUCUGGACCGUUUCUCAGUUCCAAUGUGGCCGGUCAUCCUCUCAGAUCGGCUACCCAUCGUUGACUUGGUGGGCCGUUACCUCACCAACUAUCUAAUGGGACGCGAGCUCACCCUUGUGCGGAUUUCUCCUUUUACCUCGAUACCAUGUGGUAUCGUGGUCUCGUGCGGUAUUAGCAACUGUUUCCAGUUGUUAUCCCCCUCACAAGGACAGAUUGCUCACGCGUUACGCACCCGUCCGCCACUAAGCUUACUUCGAUUGCUCUCUAUAAGCUCCGUUCGACUUGCAUGUGUUAAGCACGCCGCCAGCGUUCGUCCUGAGCCAUAAUCAAACUCUGA
rnacentral:rRNA from 1 species